rnacentral:rRNA from 1 species
GACGAACGCUGGCGGCGUGCUUAACACAUGCAAGUCGAACGGAAAGGCCCUGCUUUUGUUGGUUGCUCGAGUGGCGAACGGGUGAGUAACACGUGAGUAACCUGCCCUUGACUUUGGGAUAACUUCAGGAAACUGGGGCUAAUACCGGAUAGGAGCUCCUGCUGCAUGGUGGGGGUUGGAAAGUUUCGGCGGUUGGGGAUGGACUCGCGGCUUAUCAGCUUGUUGGUGGGGUAGUGGCUUACCAAGGCUUUGACGGGUAGCCGGCCUGAGAGGGUGACCGGCCACAUUGGGACUGAGAUACGGCGCAGACUCCUACGGGAGGCAGCAGUGGGGAAUAUUGCACAAUGGGGGGAAGCCUGAUGCAGAAACGCCGCGUGCGGGAUGACGGCCUUCGGGUUGUAAACCGCUUUCGCCUGUGACGAAGCGUGAUUGACGGUAAUGGGUAAAGAAGCACCGGCUAACUACGUG